rnacentral:rRNA from 1 species
AUAUGGGGCAAGCGUUGUUCGGAAUUACUGGGCAUAAAGGGUGCGUAGGUGGUCUAUUAAGUCAGGGGUGAAAUCCCGCGGCCCAACCGUGGAACGGCCUUUGAUACUGAUGGACUUGAGUGCGUGAGGGGUAGGGGGAACGAGCAGUGUAGCGGUGAAAUGCGUAGAUAUUGCUCGGAAGGCCAGAGCCGAAGGGGCCCUACUGGUACGUAACUGACACUGAGGCACGAAAGCGUGGGGAGCAAACAGGAUUAGAUACCCUGGUAGUCCACGCCGUAAACGAUGAGCACUAGAUGGAUGUCGAGCUAUCGAUGUCUGUCGGAGACAAUUUGGUAAGUGCUCCGCCUGGGGAGUAUGGUCGCAAGGCUG